AGAGAAGGUUGGGCACAUAGAAGAAGAAUAAACUUUCCUGUUACAGCCAACAGAAACUCACCGUGUGUGUCGUUUUCUGCAUCACAGCAUCACAGACUGAGAGGACAAAACAACCUCAUGAUCUGAGGCUGCCAGCAGCGGGACGUCCUGCGUCAUCAGUCUGAGGACAACCCCGCUCACCGCUGACGGACCUGUUGGGAGGAAGUGAUGCGUGAAGAGACGGAAACCAGGCCGGGAGAUGAAGAAUGGAGGCUUAAAGAUAAUGCAACACUACCCCCUGGUGGAGAAGUGAGAGGAGACCUGAAAACCAAAGAAAACAGAAGAGACUGAAGAGGAAAAUCUGAAAAUAAGAGAAAUAAAACUGGAAGGUGAAACUGACCUUCACCUUAAACUGCAUCAAUAAAAAAAAACUUAAAUUCCCACCG